rnacentral:rRNA from 1 species
CACGUAGGGCGCGAGCGUUGUCCGGAAUUAUUGGGCGUAAAGAGCUCGUAGGCGGCCUGUUGCGUCCGCUGUGAAAGCCCGGGGCUUAACCCCGGGUCGCAGUGGAUACGGGCAGGCUAGAGGUAGGUAGGGGAGAAUGGAAUUCCCGGUGUAGCGGUGAAAUGCGCAGAUAUCGGGAGGAACACCUGUGGCGAAAGCGGCGCACUGGACCAUAACUGACGCUGAUGCGCGAAAGCUAGGGGAGCAAACAGG